rnacentral:rRNA from 1 species
AUACGUAGGUGGCAAGCGUUAUCCGGAAUUAUUGGGCGUAAAGAGGGAGCAGGCGGCAGCAAGGGUCUGUGGUGAAAGCCUGAAGCUUAACUUCAGUAAGCCAUAGAAACCAGGCAGCUAGAGUGCAGGAGAGGAUCGUGGAAUUCCAUGUGUAGCGGUGAAAUGCGUAGAUAUAUGGAGGAACACCAGUGGCGAAGGCGACAAUCUGGCCUGCAACUGACGCUCAGUCCCGAAAGCGUGGGGAGCAAAUAGGAUUAGAUACCCUAGUAGUCCACGCCGUAAACGAUGAGUACUAAGUGUUGGAUGUCAAAGUUCAGUGCUGCAGUUAACGCAAUAAGUACUCCGCCUGAGUAGUACGUUCGCAAGAAUGAAACUCAAAUGAAUUGACGGGG